AUAAUCAGUCUUAAAGGUUCAAAGUGGGGGGAGGGAGAUUUAGAGGAAGCCCAUUAAAGAUCUCAGGUUCCUUUCAGGUUAAGUUAAAGUGAUGUAUUUGGUGGGAACUGCUAUAAGCACAGGCUUCCUUCUAUAUGACCUCCUUAAAUUCGUAGAAGCUGAGUGGCAUAGGAAGGACUGUUUAUGUAAUAGAGUUGUUUGUUUGGGGCUGGGGAAACUUACACUUGUUUGAACGGCUCUCUGGGAAGAGAGUAGAGAGUGGGAAGGAAGCCCCUGUCGACUACAUGCUAGGUGAACAAGAGCAAAGGCAUUAUCCUGGAUGGUCUGAUUACAACCCAUACUGCACCAAGAAAAGAUGGAAAGAUUCUAAAGCAAACCCUGCUUUUAUAGUGAAGCCGAGGUGCUUGGAGACCAGCGACUGGGAUAAAUGUCAAGGACAGAGUCUUGGUACAGAGUAGACAGUUCAGAAUGAAGAUAAAACUGUGUCUUUCUUUCCUUUCUGGGCUUGCAUCUGGAGUCACCUUCUGAUUGGUUGGAUUCCAAUUAAAUGGUGGUGCCUCUCUUAACCCCUGCAUCAGGCUCUGAAGGGCUUCUGAGAUGGACUUUUGAAAGGGUUUGAGGGAACCAUAAAGCUGGCUGUACUGACCUGCGGAAGAUGGCAUGGUAGUGUCUGGAAGGUGGAGACCGCUGCUUCCUGACAGCUGUCAAGGCAAGAAGAGGAACUUGAAGCAAAGGGAAGGGCUGCGCUUCCUCACUGGGGAAACUGGGCAGGGGAUUCGAUGGGGACAGCCGCUUCUGUUUUGCGGGAACUCAGAAAAUGGCAAAUGAGACUUCUCUCAAGAUCAGAGCCUGGUCAAGUACUGAGAUGCAAUCCUUCCUCUUGCCCUGUACUCUGCUAUGAGCCAAGGGUGGUCACACCAAUUCUAAGAACCCAACAGCCACAGGAUUGCUUUGCCUAAGUGGGAUGCUCUGGGUAUGGCUGAAGCCGAGUUCUGCAAGUACCAAGCUCCUGGUCCUCGUUUUAUUAAUGGUAUAGUUAUGAACUACUGAGGUUAUUAAACUCCUGUUAGUAUGAUCGGCUCUGUAGAAAGAUGAGUUUAGAGAGCCAAUACUGAAAAAUAAGAUGAUCUUGUUUCUACCUUUAGCCUGUUUCUAACUUCAAGACUUUGGAUCUUAGCUGUCAUGAGGCAUACAGAUUUCUGAUCUCUUCAUGUCAUCUGAUCAUUACAAUCAAAUGAAAUAAUGAAUAUACAAAGGUACUUUGAACAAAGAAUCACUGAAAAUCCACCUUAGUAUUAUAAGAACAUUCUACUGUUGCCUGAUAUUCUGCAAAUGGGGACAACUAAUUUAUCUAGCUGUGUGUAUCAAAUCAUAGCAAAUGUGCUUCAACUCUAAGUUCUGAGAGAAAGGUGUAAUACACAUUAGUGCAAACGGCCCAUCCACCCUUGGUUGGAAUUUACUUUAGUGAUCUGUUGAGCACUCUCUGUGGAGAAUGCCCCUAAACACUUAUUUAGCCUUUAUACAACUCUUCUUAGCUUUCAACAGAACAAUUAGGGGAACAGACAAAGAAGCCUCUAGUAAGUCAAUGUAUCGGAGGACACGUGCCACAGAGUCACUGAGAACUAAGCCCAAGUCCUCUGGCUCAGAAACCUAUCUCACCAUCACUCCAUAAUUUCUCCCUCCUGUUGCUUGAGGUGCCAAAGUUCCAUUCAUGAAGUCCAACAUGGAACUUGCACAGGAUCACAUGCUGACCAGACCAGUGAAGUCAUAGAUGACUGGAAUCCUGUCUGAUCCUCCCUCCACACCUACACCUACCCACAAGCACUAACAGUGUCACGUGUAGAAGGCUCUUCAAAUUGAACUCUCUCUCGGUGGACAAGCACGCCUAGUUUACAUGGUUCUGCAGCUGCCCCAAGCACUUGGGUUAUAAAUGUGAGGUGUCAGAGUGUCUUAUGACUACCCAGAUCAGUUCUGUCAUAGUUCUGUGUAUUCCAGAGAGAGAGGCCUUUUCUUCCAGAGACUUCCAGUGACUGCUGGUUUUUCAUAUACAUGACCUCAGAGCCUAAAUUACAGAGAAACUAGAGGACCAAGAAGCCUUCCCCACUCAGCUAUGAGCAGUGAGAGGGCUGAACGAAGCCUUCGAUGGACUGGGAGGGACAGAGACGGAGAGGGUGGUGCUUACGUUUGCCCCUGAGGUGGCCUGGUGUGCCCUUCUUUGCUGCAGAAGCUCUUUCACGGUCAUCUUCACACGGACGCCUUGAUACACCUUAGGUUUUUCUGGGGAGAGGCAACAGGGUUAGUGGUCAGUUUCAAAGCUUGGGUGUCAAGGGGAUACAGUGAGGGUUCCCUUGGUAAGGCUAGGAUACCCAAGGCCAAGUUUCUACCUUUGCAGAACACACGAAGAGAAUGAAAAAAGAAAAAGAAAAGAAAAAAAAAGAAGAAGAAGAAAAAGAAAGAAAAGAUAACGUUAAAAAAUACCCACAUUUCUCAAACUAGAAAAGGUUAAGCACAGGCAGGUGCUUCAGGGUCCUAGUGGGAACAGUAUCUGUGGGCAUCUAUGAAAUUAUUCAUCCCUAGCUGGGCCCCAUCCUCAGGACAGUACCAGCUGUUCUGCUCUGGAAUGUGGAGGGAGGUCAAACAAGCCUGCUAUUUUGGCUACGAUAUUAAAUCUGGGGUUCCGGCUCAGCUUGUGGAUCUGGGGUGCUCUCUGUUUCCAACUGAUCUCGCGGACCUCACCAUAAUGUGAACAACAGCCCCUCUCCCCAUGCCCCCCGCCCCACUGUAUUCCUCUAUCAAUCCAGGCAUGGCUUCUGGGGAAGUACAACCUUUAUUUGUGGUGCCCUUGGUCUGGAAGCAAGCCCUGAAACAAGCGACAAGCUACAGGGGUCGGGGCAGUCAGUCUGUCCUGGCCCUGUUAAGGACUUACUGCACUGACCCCAGAAAAGGAGCCAAGAUCGGGAAAUAGUCUCCUGUCGGUCCUUUCUCUUUUUCAAAAAUGUCUUUUCUUCCUCACCCCCUUCCUCCCUCUAGUCUCCGACUCUGUCGCUCUCUUCAUCUCUUCCCACCCCCUCCCUUUCCGGUGCAGGCUUUUGGAGAACUGAGCUGUGGAGAGUUCUCCAGCAAGAGCUGCAGCUCUGGAGUAAUGGCAUCCCGAGGCUCCCUAGGACCGCGCAGUCGCCUAGAGGCAGCCCUCCGGAAGGGGCCGCCCCUGAGCCGGCAGAGCUGGGCCGGGAGACCUGGGAGAGCCCAAGUAGCCGGCUGUGCUAGGCGGGGGUCGGCUGGGAGGGACCGGUGACCGCCUGGGGUCCCGGCAGAGCGCAGUGAGUAGGUCUGACUGGUUGUUAGGCCAGGCUAGACCCGGCAGAGGCACUUUCCGAAUAGAGUUUGACUUAGAAGCCCAGUGUGACUCCCACCCGACCUUGACCCUGGAGAGAGCGCUUAUUAGAAUCACGGGGAGGGGCGGAGCACAGUGGCCCCUGGCCUAGGCGUUUGGAGACAGUGCCAGGCCACCAGCGCCUCGCCUGGUUAGUGUAGGGACCGCGGCUGGACAGCAGGGAGACCCCCACCCACGAGCCAGAUCCUGAAAGUUAGGAUCCCUAAGGAAAGUUAGUGCGCUGUUCUUCCCGGUCCUGGGCAUCGGUUUGUCUUGCUGCAGUGCCAGGACGCGCCCACUCCGCUCCAGUCUCCUUUCCUCCCAUCCCCACUGUCUGGGUCGGCUCUGGGAUCUGCAGGCAGCGCGGGCGCGCCUCGGGGUCCACGCGGGACCAGCCCCAGCCCAGUUCCCUGCCGGGUGCGUCCUGCUCCAGUCCAGGGCUCACCGUGAGCCUCUAGCUCCCCCGCGCCGCCGCUUCUGGGCUCACAAGGUCGGCGCCUCCAAAUUCCCAGGACUCCAAGGUGGAAAAGUGAAAGGGCAGGCAGGGGCGUGGGGGACUCGAUUGUCCGGAGUGGCCUUAUGGGUCUCUGGGCCUCUGCUCUGGGGGGCAGUCACCCAGAGGGACCCGACACAGCGGGAUCGCGUCCUCUCUGGAUCCAUGCCCGGCCCUGACUAUUAUUCCCUGACUUUGUGCCUCUCUGUUAUACGCAGGAAAAGCAGAGGAAAUACACUCGGAUCCAAGUGCCCCUGGCCCUCAUGACCCGACCCCUGGAAAAGCAUCUGAGUUACCCGACAUCCUGGUCAGCAGGAGCUGGGCUGGAGACUGGAUGCUGCAGCUUCAGAGACUCAGCACCUAGGAAGGCUCCUGUGCAGGGAGAAAGGCAGAGAUGCGACAUUUUUAAAGUUUCACAAAACACGAGGCAGCACCCAGGUCCCUGGAUCAGGAGACACACAGAAUUAAUGUUUUAUACCUUCGGGUAUAGGUUUGAGUUUUUUCCCCCUCAUGCCAAGUAUUUAAAACCUCUAGAAACCCAUGAUUUGACAAUCAAUGAUUGCGCGAUACUUUCAAUUUGAAUAUUCAAAGGCUUAACAAAAUGGACUAUCUUCUGCAGAAAUCCUGCACACAGGCACCUCACAGAGAGUCCAGAGAAACAGAGAGGGAGAUCCCUUUGGGUCCUGACCCUUGCUUUUCUCCUAUUUUAAACAUUUUGUCCACCUGCCCACAGGCAGAGCAGGUGUCCUCAAAGAUGCUCUAUGUUAGUGCCUCAAAGGCUGCCCUGAAGUCCCCACUGACCUAGGCUGUUCCCUGUGGACCACCUGAACCAGGUUGGACAGCCACAUUGAAUCUCUCUUGUCCACUCUCCAUUUUAAGGGGAAAUGGCAGGUUUUGGGGAAUGAACAUGGCAGACAGAGGGUGUGGCACAGCAAAGAGCCACUUUGGGCCCAGGCUGCAGGUCAGAGGACGGCAGAGGCCAAAACUUUGUGCUUUGUAUCCCUCUGGCCCUGCCUGGCCACAAGGCUUGCCUGUCCAGUCUGCAUCCUCCCUCCUGCUAGGUCACAGACACUGGGCUUCCAGCAAGCAGUCCUUAAACAUCAGCGCUCUUUGCUCUUUGGAGCUGUAGACCAGCACAGCUUCCUUGACCCACCUGAGAUUCCUUUAGGCCAGGUUUCCACUGCUGCAUUGUGGCAAUCCCUAUUCCUAUGUUUUGGCUUGUUUUUAAUUCCUCGAACCCCAGACUUUUUACCUCAUAGAACUCCUGCUUCCUUUAGAGGAAGGGCAUGGUUUUUUCUUUCUUUCUUUCUUUUGAAGGCUCUGAGGAGAGAGGUAGGAGGAAUUUGGAACCAACCUGUCUUCUUGGAUCCCUCAUGAAUAUGAGUAACUCCGACCCAUGCUGAUGUGUAUUUUGGAAGCUCUGCCUGAGUUGCUCUCUGUCCUGUGAUUUGAAGGAUGAAGAGACUGGAGUGAUAUGGAAUGUCAGGUCAAGAUGUCACAGGGGGACAGAAGGGUCCCCUUUGCAAAUAACUAGGAGGUUUCCAGGAAUGCAGAUAAAGUGAUGGUAUAGGCCUCUCUCUUUUAAUCCCCGAGUUGUCUGAAGUGCAAACAAAACAAAAAAUAAACCUACCAAACAAAAGCCAAAAAAAAAAAAAAAAACACCAAAACCAAACCAAAACAAAAACCCAAGCUUUAGAUUAAAAAAUCUUUAGAAAAAAGUCUGAAAACUUAAAAAUAUAUCAGACAUAGUAUAUUAGAUAUAGAGUAUCUAACAAACAGCUCAGCUAAAGGGUCUCUGGGGGUGAUACAAGCAUUCAGGGUAGACCUGUCUGCUAGGCAGGUGGAGCCACAUAUCUGGAAAAGGGUCAGGGCUGGGGACACUUGAAGUAGCAUCUGGCGGUGGAGAAGUAGGGUGAGAUGUGGUUGUAUUUGGUCCAGCUGGUGUUUAUCAGCCACUGGACUCUAUUUUUGUAAAGCCAGGCCUGAGGACCAGACCAGAGAAAGGACCAGGGGAUCUGAGAGAAACCCUCUCCCUGGGACCACAUCCUUCUUUCCUCUAGUCAAUGUUUUCCCUUGCUGUCCUCCUUUCUGUCUUGCUUUUAAGAUCUCCUUGUUGUCCUUUGGCUGUUUUGUUUAUUCUGCCCCCCCUUUUCUGUCCCCUGUUUUUCUCCAUGUUGACACUUAUUUUCAUUUCUUGUCUCUCUUUUCUCUCUGACUCUAUACAUGCCUCUCUUUCCCCUCGUGCUGUCUCAUUCUUUUACACUAAAUAUAUUUCUUCAGCUCCCCUUUCACACAGGAUUGAGCAGAGGGGGCCUAAGGUCACAGUUUUCCCUUGACAAUAUCAAGAACAGUAGUGCUGGUGACUGAGUUCUCCAGAGAGAACACAGACUGGAAGACAGGCUCUUUAGAAGCCUGGUGUCUACAGGGAUAAGAGCGAAGAAAUCUGCAUCUUUUCUCCCAGAAGUCUUUGCCUGAGCCAUAGCUAACAUCCUGGGGCAUUUGUGUGCUGGUGCAGUUCCUGAGGUUUAGAGUCUGAUGAUGUUACUGACAAAUAACUUCAGAAAACUAUUUCCACAGGCCCACUUUGAGAAUCAUCCCUGUGCUAUCUAUAUUGCAGGUCAGCUCAACAUUCAGGAGUUUUGAUUCUUGUUCUUGUAACUGAAAAGCCUCAGCACAGACAUUUCAGAGCCAAAGCCCUGCUUCAGGAGGCAGGAGACAAUGCUUUUUCAGUAGAUCCUCUUUGCAUCUCUCUCUCCUUUCCCCCUAUCUCUGUCUUUCUGUUUCUGUGUGGUGUGCAUGUGUGUGUGUGCACGCACACGUGUGUCUGUGUGUCUAUGUAUCUGUGUAUCUGUGCGAUGAUGAUAUCUAACGCAACCAGCUAUUUUUACCUUGAGAUUCCAAAUGCCGUUAGAAGUUGGUACCCUGCUUCAGUUGCUUGCUCGCUCGCGUGCUUGCCCAUCCAUCCAUCCAUCCAUCCAUCCGUCCGUCCGUCCGUCCGUCCGUCCGUCCGUCCAUCCGUCCAUCCAUCCAUCCAAGUGUUGAGAUAGAAUCCAGAGCAUGCUGGCUAGGGGGUAGUUUGCUGAGACAGAAAACCCCACCAGAAGACAAGAGAAGGAGGCAUGUCCACUAUUUGCAUCUAAGUAUGAAUGACUACCCGGAUUAGAAUUUGUGCACCCCGACUUCCUAGCUGAGGAGUCUCUCUAAGGAAAACGGCAAAAGCACAGAAAUUAUUCUUUGGUUGACGCUCUGAGGAUGCAGAGCUGCCACUGGAUGGAGGCAUCCGGAGAAACUUUGCAUGCUUUCCGCUGCUUCUGAAGCCUGCCUUGCAGACAGCUUUUCCCGCUAGCAUUUGAUCCUAAGCCAGGAAAAUCUGGGCUAAUUUCUACUUGAGGAUGUAAGUCGGGGCCCCACAUUCUCCUUUACAGAAGCAAGGGAAGGCAGCACUCAUUUCUGGUUUGGGUGAGCAGUAGCCCUCCAAUGACCUAGGCUCUAGAGUGACCUGGGGUUGGAACUCCCUACCUGCUCAACAGUACUUUUCUUGGGGUGGACUGAGUUCACUCACAGUACCACCUACCACUCUCCUGACACUGAGACAGAGGGCUGUUCAUCUGUGACAUGGGGCACAGAUUUCCUGAGUUGCUGCAAGCCCUAAAUGAACAAAAGUCCAUAGAAGUCCUUGCCACAGAAUAAGGUUAAUUCCCAGUCCCACCCUUUUGGUCUAAAAUUCCACCUUCAGCCAUUCAUCCUAUUGUGGCAGAGGGCUUUGCAGUUUUCUAUUAAAGGACUAUUAGAAGCUUUUAGAUCUUUCUGAACCUAUUUCUUUGGAGGGAUCAAGAGAGAACGAGGUGGGAGGGUGUGUUGUGAGGAAGCUAGAGCCCAGGGACUGGGAAGGAAACGGAAGAGGAAGCUGGGUAAAUCUCUUUGGGGAGUUGGUCUAGUCCUAUCUAGAUGUGACUCCAACCUUUGUUCCUUAGGGCUCAGAGGCCUGAAGGAGUCUUGCAUUAGCAGCAUGGGGGAACAUUUAGCAAACAGAAUAGUAACAAAAUGAAUGUGAGUUCUAUCUUACAGACCCCGGCUCCAAAACCCUAGUCUUUUGAUGUCUCGGUUUUGAUGUGAUCUUUGAGCUGGAUUUCCUCAGAAGCUCCCCAGCAACGCCAGCCUGACCCAGCACCUCAGGUGUGAGCAGAAUCCUCAGCUUCUGAGCUACAUCCCGUAAUAUACAGGACUGCAUCCCAUAAUAUACAGGACAACAUCCAUAAUAUACAGCCAAGAGGCUGCUUCUGGGAUUUUUUACAUCCGAUAAUACAUCUCUCUGGACCUUUAUACGCCUUAGAUGUCUUUCUCAAGGGGCUGAGAUGUGGAGAAGAUGUCCCUCUUCCCUCCCCGCAACAACAGAUCUUCAAACCCAGUUUACAUAGUCAAGAAGUAAACCACACUCCUCUUCAUUCUGCUUGGUACAGGACACAUUUGUGUCUUUGUUUUGCUGGGGCUUCGUGUCUUUUAUCCAGUUACGACUACUUUGAACCACUGCAGCCUUAAACUUCGCUCUAGUAUAUCCUCUGACACUACUUAGAUACAUCUUGGAUUUUUUUGCUUUUAUCCUACAUAUUAUAUAACCUCCUCAUUUCCCCUACACCCAUGAUUUUGUGUUUCCUCAUACCUUUUAGAGAUUGGUGUAGGUUUCUUCAGAUCUUAUUGGUUUACUAAUUAUUCAAUUGUAAUUUGCUGCUUAACUCACAUAUUAAGCUUAAAAAUAUUUAUUUAUUUAUUUAUACACAUGAGUGUGCACAUAUGUGUGGGUGGAGGCCCCAGGCUGAUGUUGGGUUAUCUUCCUCAGUUACUCUCCACCUUAGUUUCUGAAACAAGGUCUCUAGUUGGAUCUGGAGCUCACUAACUUGGCUAAACUGUAGGGCCGGCAAGUCCUGGGAUCUUUCUGUCUUUGUCUUCUCCCACUGAAGUUAUAUACGUGAGUUAUGCUAUCUGUGGUUUUGUUUUGGAUGCAAAGUAUCUGACCUCAGGUUUUCAUGGCAAGCACUUUACUAACUGACCCAUCUCCCCAGACCCACAUU